rnacentral:lncRNA from 1 species
CACAGACUGGGCAGCCAGCUAUGGGUUCAAAUCUGGGUCCUGUCACUGGAGCAGAGUGACCUUGAACAAGUGACGUCACAUCUCUGACCCUGCGUUUCCUAUCUGUAAAAUGGGGAUAUUGAUAGGUAUCUUACAGCCUUGUUUUGACAAUGAAACUGAAAUAAAGUUUGCGAAAUGUGAAGCCGACUACGGGUGUGUAGUGAGCUGUACGAGAGGAUUGGGUUCCUAAUUUUAGUGCUUUUAAGUGGUCCAGGUGCCCGGGUGCUCAGGCCUUGGAGCUGCUGCCCAAAUACCAGCAAUUCCUUGAGGCGGGAGCCCUGCCAGGAGCUCACUCCUGCUGAACACGGGUCUACGCGCACAGCUUUUCAAAGGCCCAGAUAAGGUUCUGACGUUGCUCCCAGUGGCAGCUGGAGGCCACCCUCAGCAUCCAUCCCCAGGUCCGGACCAGCCAGCUGGCCCACUGAUGUCCUGUGCUGGUCACUGGGGAGGAAAGAUGUCCCAGCCUUGAGGUCUGGACUCAGCCCCUGCAGAGGAUACUCAUCCAGAGUCCCAGGCUGCAGAGCCACAGCCCUCGGGGCCCCAUGGGAGUCGGGCCCUGCCUGCUGGUGCCUCCUCCCAACGGCAGAGCCACAGCUCCCUCUGUCUCCACUCCUGUUCCACCCCUUCUGGAUCCCGCACCCGAGGCCGUCCCUGCCAGCCAGACGAACGUCAGGAGCCAUCUGCUGCCUGAGCCAGCACAGCUGCCAGGAACGUGCUCGCGUCCAUAGCAUAAACUCAGGACGGUGAUGGCCCUGGAAUGGGAACAGAACGAGACCGGGAAACUCAUUU